GCCUGGGUGGCUCAGUUGGUUGAGCAUCUGACUUUGGCUCAGGUCAUGAUCUCGCUGUCCGUGAGUUCAAGCCCCGCAUCGGGCU
rfam:Felis catus isolate Cinnamon breed Abyssinian chromosome X, whole genome shotgun sequence.